CCGAAGGGGGCUAGCGUUGCUCGGAAUUACUGGGCGUAAAGAGCACGUAGGCGGCCCUACAAGUCAGCUGUGAAAUCCUUCUGCUCAACGGAAGAACGGCAGUUGAUACUAUAGGGCUAGAGUGCGGGAGGGGAGAGUGGAACUUCUGGUGGAGCGGUGAAAUGCGUAGAUAUCAGAAGGAACAUCGGCGGCGAAAGCGACUCUCUGGCCCGUAACUGACGCUGAGGUGCGGAAGCUAGGGGAGCAAACGG
rnacentral:rRNA from 1 species